UCUUUCAUCUUUUCAGCAUACUUGUUGAGAUCAAACCCGGCUGGAUUAUGGCCCCCGAAUGCAGAUUCCAGUUUGUCCAUUUCGAAGAGGUGGUGUAUGAUUAAAAGAGAGUUCAAAAUUCGCUUGCACCCAACUAUUAUGCAACUGCAGUUGCUGGAUGAAAUCGAACAUCUAAAUGCCAUUUGGAAUGUGAAAAUUUCAGAAGACUGAAACAGAUUGUGUAAAUAGAACAAUGGAAUCAUGACAAAGGGCAUCAAAACUAUACAGUUGAAUGAUCUGGUAUCCUGAUCGCUUCUGAAGAAUUGUAUCAAGGAAGUCAAUAAGCAAUUGUACAGACAGGACUAAGGAUCUAUGGAUCACCAAUCAUGGAAAAAGAUAGGAUCGAUUUUUUUCUAGAGAGAGAGUGAGAGAUUGAUUGAUGGUGAGCAGCUGGAGAAGAAAACACUGCAGAUUAGCUCGUGAGGUGAUGGGACUUGAAACAAAAUAAGAGUCACCAAGCAACAGCUGUGGAAAGCUUGAUGUGCAAUUAAGUUAGAGGUCACCACUGACAUGGAAAGUUACAGCUACACAUAAUAGCUGCAGAUGGUGCAAUGAUGGAUCACGGCAAAAUCUCAAAACUAGGUCAUGUGAAGAAGAUUCAUGCUUUCUGGCUUCCUCUGCUCUUCCUUCUCAACGAAAAGAAAGGAGGUUCUCUUGAUACAAGAGAUCAAUCAGCCUAUGAAGGCAUGGCAAAGACCUCACUUAAGAUCCUUACAUCACAUGGAUCAAUCAAGAACAUGGAGCAAGAAACCAAGUUGCAGACCUCA